rnacentral:lncRNA from 1 species
GUUAUUAUCCACCAGACAGAGAAUCGUGUCGCGCCCGAACUCGCUCUAGCCCGAGAUUCCCGCCGCGACUCUCUUUCUCGUGAUUUUGCACUUCUGUUUCGUAUUGGGUUCUCAGCUCGGCUGAUAGUCUAUAACUGCCGCAGCGAGACUUCUCUCUUUGUAACUUCAGAUUUUCUGUAAAAGCUAAUAAAGAAAACUGUUUCGUAUCGUCCCAAAAAUCUCGUAUCAUUAUUGUAGCUGCUCCCCCCUUGCAUAAACAGAAAAGUAUUCGGGUUCUGGAUGGUUAUAGGCCUAUAGACCUUGCCAAACUAGAUCAACGAAGCUAAGAAGGAAAAAUGAGUAAACUAAUAAAGGUGUAGUGGUUACAUAAGGAAACUAAAUGCGAAAGCAAAGUUUUGGAUUUUGGUGAUGGUGAUGUACUCAUAUGUUACUGUCUGCAUUUAUUUUGGUACCUUUCCAGCCGCAUAGUGACUCAGACACAGUAAAACUAGAAGAUGUUCUCUGUUCACACACUAUUAUUUUUGUUAUCUUGUACAUAUGUAUUUUAUAUUUUAGAUCUUCUGUGACGUGGUGUAAAUUGAUUCAUCGCUGAGUUGAAAAACAAAAUAAAAUAACAUACGCACGUCAAUCCGAACAUAUAAAAAAA